CGAAGAUAUAAGAGUUAAAUGUGAACAUAUUUGUCCGUAAACAAAGUAGCAUUUUUCUUUCAUAUUAAAUAUUAAUUAAAAAUCAUUAUAAGUCACUAUAAGUAACAAAAACAAGGAUAUGAGUACUGUUUGGAAAACUGCAACUGAUCAACUUGAAAGUUUUUGAGAAUUAAGAAAUAGCAAUAAUGUUAAUAGUGUUUCUUUACCAAAAGAAAGUAUCGUGCAUAUUCAUAACAUGUUCAACGUGAAUUACUCUGAUCAUUGCGAAAGCUAUUUGCACUUUGUAACUAAAUAUUUGCUACUGUUUCUUCAAGGACGAUAUGCGCUAUUGAUCUUUCAAAUAUAGAAUUAGCAAGCAAUGUUAUAUUUUGUCAUCACAUACGGACACAUUUAAAUUGCGCAUUUAAAAGGUAUCUUGUUAAAACUCCUGGACGUUGCUUUUGAACAUAGAUUGAACAAAAUGAGAUUCGUUCUUCUGCAAGUUGUCGUACCACUCUGCAUUUUGUUAGUGGCGGUUAAAGCAGACGACCAUGAAGGGGCCAUUUUGUCCGAGUAUUUAUGGUCAGAAACGAUCGAAGAACAAGAGGCGUCACUAAACUCAUCCCUAAUUAGGGGAAUGGCAUCAACCAAAUUGAAUCCUACUAGUUUUGGUACAGUAAUUUUCUUUAUGUUACAUAUAGGAUCUAUAAUCUUUAAUUAGUUUAUUUCAACCUGCUAACCUUCCCUUUCCAUAGCAAUGUAAUAAAUUUUUAAUAUUUGAAAACAGACAAUACUAAUUAUUUGAGCCGCGUCACGACAAAACCAACAUAA